CUUUAUUGCAGUUGACUGAAAUCACAAGAAGCAAAACUGUGGAUGAGAGCAAGUACAUUAAUAUAUUUUGUCAGUAUCAUAUGAGUCUCAUGAUUUUCCCACAGAGUGUCUUCCUUUUUCUUGGUCACCUUCAAACAAAGUUGCUCUUCCGAGCACUGAAGCAAAGCAUGUCCUGGCUCAAAAGGCCCUCAUUUAAAACCACAGCUACAGUCUGGUCUCAUGAAGAUGCUCGGCUGCUUGAGCGACCUUUCUUUAUAUUUCAUAAGUUCAUCUUUGCCUCAAAGACUGGUUUCUCAUUGGUGAAAUUAAAGCUUGAAGUGGCUCUUCUCCAAAGAUCCUUUUACAAUUUUACUUGUGGGCAAAUAUUCUCAAACAAAUGUCUUCAGGAAAAAUUGCCGGCUUAAGAGAUUCCUGACACUUCUAAAGCCAUUUCAAAGCAGUAAGUAUCAAUUUCCAAAUCCUUCCAAGAAAAGAAAUUACCCUAUAUGUUGUCCUCCAAUUAACUAACCCUACAUUACAAAGUAAAGAAAAAGUAAGAACCAUCAUAAAAAACAAAAACAAAAAAAACUAGAUAUGUGGAUGUUUAGUAACAUCUCUAACUAGGGAGCUCAGCCAGAAGUUCAAGUAUUUGAUGCUACAAAAAGGGAAAUUAAUAUUAG
ensembl:lincRNA